AGGCAAAAGACAGACAUUCAGAUGCCUUUCAAGUUACCAAAGGAUCCUGAAGGAAUACAAAUAUUUGGAAGUGGUAUCUAAAAUGUAGCUGCUACCAGUGCCAUUUAAAGUUACCUGAGCAGAAAUUUAAGUUAAGGAGAAAGUGAUACACAAGAUUUUCCAGAAGAACUACAUAAUCAUUAAUGAGCUACAUAAUCAGUCACAUAUAAAGUCUUGGCGGCAGCAUGUUAUAAGAUGUUUGAACCAAGACCGUUGACAUACUACCCUUUUGGAUGAAUUAAAGCCUGAAGAAGUUUUGAUCAUUAUGGACUGGGCCAUGAAUUAUUUGCCCUAAUCCUUCAAGGAAAAGGAAUCAAAGUGGUUUGGUUAGAAGGGACUGAAUUGGCUUGUGUGUGUCUGCACCUUCAAAGAUAAUGACUUGAUUGAUUAUUUGUGAAAAUUGUUUUCAUAGAAUUAUAAAGAAAAUAAUGCU